rnacentral:lncRNA from 1 species
CUGUCAUCAAGUUAUCUUUCACAAAUUUAAUUUAAUUACCAAAUUAUACGAGUUGGCAAGAAAGCUCAAUCAUGGUUCAGUGCAGCUGUAACGUAACAUGAUGAAGAUAUAAACCGACAGCCAAAAUAAUAAUAAUAAAAUAAUAAUGGAAGUGAGAAAAAGAAUCGAAACCACAAAGCAAAUUAGUCCAUUAUUAUUGACUAGCUUAGCUCACAUUUCCUCCUCCUCUCAAAGUACAAAAACAAACCUCAUUCACACUCUUAGAUCUGAUCUUCUUCUUCUCUUCUAAACCAUGUACGGCCGAGAUCCCUGGGGAGGUCCACUGGAGAUCAACGCCACGGAUUCCGCCACCGACGACGAUCGUAGCCGGAAUCUGAAUGAUGUCGACCGCGCGGCUCUGUCUCGGCCACUCGACGAAACGCAGCAGAGCUGGCUUCUUGGUCCGACUGAGCAGAAGAAGAAGAAGUACGUCGAUCUCGGAUGUAUAAUCGUCAGCCGCAAGAUCUUCGUCUGGACCGUCGGUAUAGUUGUCGCCGCCGCUUUACUCGCCGGAUUCAUCACAUUGAUCGUCAAAACUGUGCCGCGUCACCACAACAAGAAUCCAGCGCCGGAUAAUUACACAAUCGCUCUUCACAAAGCCCUCAAGUUUUUCAAUGCUCAGAAAUGUAAGUCCUAGUAGUAGCUCUGAUGUGUAAAAAUCUUAAGGAAAUGAUAGUCUGAUUAAUUAUUUUUUCAAUCUGCAGCUGGAAAGUUGCCGAGGCACAAUAACGUGUCAUGGAGAGGUAGUUCUGGUCUUCAAGAUGGGAAAGGUGAUUCAGGAAGCUUCUAUAAAGAUUUGGUUGGAGGCUAUUACGAUGCUGGAGAUACUAUCAAGUUCAAUUUCCCCAUGGCUUAUGCUAUGACCAUGUUGAGCUGGAGUGUGAUUGAAUACAGUGCUAAAUACGAAGCUGCAGGAGAGCUUGCCCAUGUUAGGGAGCUCAUUAAAUGGGGAACUGAUUACUUUCUCAAGACCUUUAACAGUACUGCUGAUUCCAUCGAUGAUCUUGUUUCACAGGUAAAACUUGCUUUCCUUUCCUUUCCUAGGCUAGGGAUAAUUAAUAUCUUUAGCUUUCUUUUGAGUUGUUUUGUUUUGUUUUGUUUCCUCAUUUAAACUCUUAAGGUCGGAGCUGGAAACACUGACGACGGAAGUACGGAUCCUAAUGACCAUUACUGCUGGAUGCGACCUGAAGACAUGGACUACAAAAGGCCUGUGACUACCUGUAACGGUGGAUGUUCGGAUCUCGCUGCAGAGAUGGCAGCUGCUCUCGCUUCAGCAUCCAUUGUGUUCAAAGACAACAGAGAGUAUUCUAAGAAGCUCGUACAUGGUGCUAAGACUGUGUAUCAGUUUGGAAGAACUCGGAGAGGCAGAUACAGUGCAGGCACUGCGGAGUCAGCCAAGUUUUACAAUUCAAGCAUGUAUUGGGAUGAGUUUAUUUGGGGUGGUGCUUGGUUAUACUAUGCCACAGGAAACGUAACUUAUCUCGAUCUAAUCACAAAGCCAACUAUGGCUAAGCAUGCGGGUGCCUUCUGGGGUGGGCCUUACUAUGGUGUAUUUAGCUGGGACAACAAGCUUGCUGGUGCUCAGGUCAGCCCACAAAUCAACUUAUUGUGUUUAUGUUUCCGUUAUGUUGUUGAUCUCCUCUUUAACGCUUGUAAACCCCCUGUGCUUUUCAGUUGCUGCUGAGCCGGUUAAGGUUGUUUUUAAGUACAAAAACAAACCUCAUUCACACUCUUAGAUCUGAUCUUCUUCUUCUCUUCUAAACCAUGUACGGCCGAGAUCCCUGGGGAGGUCCACUGGAGAUCAACGCCACGGAUUCCGCCACCGACGACGAUCGUAGCCGGAAUCUGAAUGAUGUCGACCGCGCGGCU